UACGAAGGGGGCUAGCGUUGCUCGGAAUCACUGGGCGUAAAGGGUGCGUAGGCGGGUCUUUAAGUCAGGGGUGAAAUCCCAGAGCUCAACUCUGGAACUGCCUUUGAUACUGGGUGUCUUGAGUAUGGAAGAGGUGAGUGGAAUUCCGAGUGUAGAGGUGAAAUUCGUAGAUAUUCGCAAGAACACCAGUGGCGAAGGCGGCUCACUGGCCCGGUACUGACGCUGAGGUGCGAAAGCGUGGGGAGCAAACAGG
rnacentral:rRNA from 1 species